UGUAGGUGGCUGGCCCCGAACAUGGCAAUGUAUCAUUCAUGCACGCUCGCUGAGCAAAGAACACAUCGUUUUACUUCUAAGAGAACAGGCCGCCGCAGUUCAAAGGAAUGCGUAGCGAGCGCUCUACUUUUUCACUCGGAGUUCUCCACCGCGCGCGCGCGCGCUCAAGAUCGCGGAACAACACAGCACCGGACAGCGAGCAGCGAGUCGACGCAGGCCUGCAGCCAGGGGAGAUCGUGUAUCAGCCAUCUCGCGUUGCCACGAAAACACGACAGUCGUUCGUCAUGCCUUGGAUAUAGCAACAAAUCCUCCACGGGACAACCCAGGACGUGCAUUUCUCAGCACCCAGUCAACUGCCAGAAGUGACUCGAACACAGGCCACCAGUGGCACUCGGCUGUACCACUGCAGUGCUGUGGAAAUUGCCAGCACCAGCGGCUUUGCAACAGCUGUUUCACAGCAUGUCGGAGACAAUGCCUACGAAAUUAUUGGCCCUGAUGACGAGAGCCCUCAAGGGGCAAACGACAUCUCUGUUGCAGAAGUGAGCCCGAUACCACCUGAAGUUACCAUGACAGGUGGCACGGCAGCAAUAGAUACAGAGACGGCCAUGUCUACUGCAGCUGCAACAGUGUACGAGGCAAGCAGCAGUGUGUCAGCAUCAGGAGCAGUGUCAGAAGGAACCGCACCAGGCCUGGUAGAGCAACAUGUGUGCUAUCACUGUGACUUUUUUUGUAGUGCAUACAACUCAUUUGCUCAACAUACGAAAGCUUUUCACCACGACUGUGAGCCAGUGUUCUUGUGCAGCAAGUGCAAGACUAAGUUAAGUGUUAUAACACAGUACAAGCAUCACUUUAAGAUAUGAAAACAUAUUACAGUUGUUGCCUCCCCAGCCAGCCCACAUAGCGACAACAAUGUGGAACACAUGGUGGGACACACCUCUUCCCCAUUAGAAGAUAGUAGAGACUGUCAGUGUUGUUGUUAGAUUAACUGGUCUUUGUAGGCAACUAGAAGGACAACACAGGUGUCAUAAGAUUGUUGUUUAUGUUGUUGUUGAAGAGGUAAAAAAGAAGUUUGAUGCAGCUGAAGUGCCAACUGAUAUUGAGCAAAUCAAGAACAAGCACCUGAAAAAGCAACACUAUCGAAAUCUGGGUAUCUGUGUGCCGCCAACUCUGGUAAGGAUGGCAUAGGACAGAAGUGUGAUGAAAAUCACAUAGACACUGCUGUUCCAUCACUGGUCACAGUGCGCAGUGACUUUUUAUGCGCAGUGACUUUUAUGCCUUUUAUAAUUAUUAUUACCAGUUAUAUCUGAGUGCAUUGUAUGCAUUUAUCAGGUCAGUUGGAUCAGAUGCCUUAUCUGCAAGGGAGCCCUAUAUUCAAGAAAUUUGAAUUAAUAUAGGUACAUUAGAGACGCAGUCUUUCAGCACUUUAUUGCGUGUGGUUUAAGCAUUGCUCAAUACUUUUGUGGAUGACAGUUUCAACCGGCACAGCACUGCGCUUUGUCACGGUCAUGUAUCUUCAAAGUGGUGUUUACCAUUUGUGUUGAUCUGUUUGUGUAUUCAUAGAGCAAGUUCUUAAUUUAUUUUUUUCCGCAUUCUUGUGCUUGCACUAAGCUUGUAUAAGGCAGGUACAAAAUGGUCGUCACUAUAACGAACUGUUCUGUUGAGCUUACACUUGCAAAUAAUAGUGUUCAGAUGGCCGCACUUCUAUGCAGGUGCACCGAUAGCUUUGUGUAUGUUCUCAUGUUUGUAUAAAGCUUAUAUAAGCUAGUUACUAAAUGUAUGUCACUAAACAUUGUGAUAUUCUUUAAAGAACUGCUUGGUUGGUUUUACACUUGUGAAUUAGUAUUGAGGCGGUGGUAUUUCCAUGUAGGCCCACUGCUAGCUUUCUGUGUGCUCACGUGUUCGUAUUAAGCUUUUACAAGGGAGUUACAGCAUGUACGUAACUAAGCGCUGUGAUAUUUUUAAAGAACUGCUUUGUUGGUUUUACACCUGUGAGUAAUAGUGCUCGGGUGGCACUAGUCAUGUGUAGGUACACAGGGACCAUUUGUAUACAUUAUGCUCAUGUAAAGCAGUUACAAAGUGUAUGUCACUAAUCACUGUGAUAUUUGUUGAAGAAUUGCUGUGAUGGUUUUACACUUGUGAAUAAUAGUGGUCAGGAUACAGUACUUGCGAUGUAUAGUUGAAUUUAUACAGUGCCAAGACAUGGGCUGUAUACGUACCAAAAGAAAUGUAUGUCAUUAUAUUGUUGUGAUUAUUACUGCUUGGAUUUUAUUAAACUCUAAUAACAUUUUUUCUUGUAUCUAUUGAGGUAUGGCAAUUUGUCAUGCAACCAAACUGAGGACCUGAACUUGUGCAUACAAAUAAACAGCUAAUUUAAGAGUA